GCUAAUACCGGAUACUCCGCAAUCAUCGCAUGAUGGAUGCGGGAAAGCGCAUACGGUGAGAGAUGGGCUCGCGGCCCAUUAGCUAGUUGGUGGGGUAAUGGCCUACCAAGGCGAUGAUGGGUAGCCGGGUUGAGAGACCGACCGGCCACAUUGGGACUGAGACACGGCCCAAACUCCUACGGGAGGCAGCAGUGGGGAAUUUUGCGCAAUGGGCGAAAGCCUGACGCAGCAACGCCGCGUGCGGGAUGACGGCCUUCGGGUUGUAAACCGCUUUCAGUAGGGAAGAUAAUGACGGUACCUACAGAAGAAGCUCCGGCUAACUACGUGCCAGCAGCCGCGGUAAUACGUAGGGAGCAAGCGUUAUCCGGAUUCAUUGGGCGUAAAGCGCGCGUAGGCGGCUUGUUAAGCAAGGUGUUAAAUCUGAGGGCUCAACCCCCAGCCGCACCUUGAACUGGCAGGCUUGAGUUCGGUAGAGGAAAGUGGAAUUCCCAGUGUAGCGGUGGAAUGCGCAGAUAU
rnacentral:rRNA from 1 species